AUGGCAGGUUGUGGCUACUGCUGUCUGGAACAAAGCCUUUGUCCAAGAAGCACAGCCGUGUGGAGCUUGGGGAGAGUGGGCACGGUCACCGUGAGGCUGAGUGACGGCCAAGCCCUCCGGAGAAGGGGUGCUGCGGCAGAGAGCCCUGGCACCUCUCUCCGGCCAUCUGUUCCCGACCCAACCCCCGUGAGCGCGCCUUGCAACGGCGGACACGCAGGUGCUGGGAGAGGCUGCCACAGGCGCCCGGAGACCAGGUGGGACCCAUUGUCAGCCCUUUUCUGUGGCGUCCCCUUCCCCUCCCGCGCUUGUCUCUCUGCCCCACUGCCCCCUCCCCCUUCCCUCUGCUUCUCUUGCAGUAAUGUUUUUAUCAAAGAGUAGCGUAUACCCAGAGAAGGACACAAGCCAGAUCUGCAUAACUUGGGGACUCUUCACAACGUGAACCUGCUUAUAUCAGUGGCACAAAGAGCAGUGACAGAACACGGCUCUGCAUCCUGGAAUGUCCCCUUUCCUGUCCCAUCUCAGGCUGGUGCCCCCCACCCCCCAUGCCUGCCUUCUCUCGACAUAAAGUGACCUGGUCUGUCGCUAACUUGUCGACUCCUGUCACUCAGCGUGGUGUUGGUGAGGUCCAGCACGUGUUCAGUCACUGAUGGAUAUUGGAGACUUUUCGGUGUGUGGGAGAAUGCGAAUGGCACAUCCCGUCACACUCUCGUGGUGGGCUUUGGUAAGCGUAUGUCAUCUUUGGGGCGUGUGUCUGAGAGUGGGUGGCUGGUCUGGCCCUGGACUCCGCCAACGUUUGGCUUCGGUGGGUCCCGCCAACAGUCACACGAGUCCCCUGGUGCGAGGAGAGAUCCAGGAACCCUGCCCUCACCCGCUCUUGGUAGCGUCAGAGGAGACACAUGAGCCGUUCUCUCUGUGGGCGCUGUGUUUUACAGUUGCAUUUCCCUGGCAACUGGCGAGGUUGAACAGUUUUCCGUGUGUUUUUGCCAUCUGAAUAGCUCCUUUUGAGAAGUUCUUGUGUGAGCCUUUUGCUUUUUUUUUUUUUUCCCUGUUGUGCUGUCUGCCUUUUGCUUACUGGUUUGCAGGAGUUCCUCUAUAUUCCAAGAUCUAUGUGUGUACGUGAGUGUGUGCAUGUGUGCAUACAUGCACAUAUGUGAGUAUACCACCAAACAUCUUCCUUCUCCCAGUCAGUGGCUUGUCUGUUUACUCUCUGCAAGGUGUUUUGUGCUGCUCAAAAAAAUCUUUGAUUUUUAUUUUUUAUUUAUUUGACAGAUAGAGAUAGACAGUGAGAGAGAGAGACAGAGAGAAAGGUCUUCCUUCUGUUGGAUCACUCCCCAAAUGGCUGCUACGGCCGGCUCUGCGCUGAUCUGAAGCCAGGAGC
rnacentral:lncRNA from 1 species